rnacentral:rRNA from 1 species
CUCGUAGGCGGUUCGUCGCGUCCGGUGUGAAAGUCCAUCGCCUAACGGUGGAUCUGCGCCGGGUACGGGCGGGCUGGAGUGCGGUAGGGGAGACUGGAAUUCCCGGUGUAACGGUGGAAUGUGUAGAUAUCGGGAAGAACACCAAUGGCGAAGGCAGGUCUCUGGGCCGUCACUGACGCUGAGGAGCGAAAGCGUGGGGAGCGAAACA